rnacentral:rRNA from 1 species
GAUGCUGGAUGUGGGGCCCGUUCCACGGGUUUCCGUGUCGGAGCUAACGCGUUAAGCAUCCCGCCUGGGGAGUACGGCCGCAAGGCUAAAACUCAAAGAAAUUGACGGGGGCCCGCACAAGCGGCGGAGCAUGCGGAUUAAUUCGAUGCAACGCGAAGAACCUUACCUGGGCUUGACAUGUGCCGGACGGCCGCGGAGACGCGGCUUCCCUUCGGGGCCGGUUCACAGGUGGUGCAUGGUCGUCGUCAGCUCGUGUCGUGAGAUGUUGGGUCAAGUCCCGCAACGAGCGCAACCCUCGCCUCGUGUUGCCAGCACGUUAUGGUGGGAACUCACGGGGGACCGCCGGGGUUAACCCGGAGGAAGGUGGGGAUGACGUCAGAUCAUCAUGCCCCUUACGUCCAGGGCUUCACGCAUGCUACAAUGGCCGGUACAACGGGAUGCGACAUGGUGACAUGGAGCGGAUCCCUGAAAACCGGUCUCAGUUCGGAUCGGAGCCUGCAACCCGGCUCCGUGAAGGCGGAGUCGCUAGUAAUCGCGGAUCAGCAACGCCGCGGUGAAUGCGUUCCCGGGCCU